UACGAAGGGGGCUAGCGUUGCUCGGAAUCACUGGGCGUAAAGCGCACGUAGGCGGCUUACUAAGUCAGGGGUGAAAUCCUGGAGCUCAACUCCAGAACUGCCUUUGAUACUGGUGAGCUUGAGUUCGGGAGAGGUGAGUGGAACUGCGAGUGUAGAGGUGAAAUUCGUAGAUAUUCGCAAGAACACCAGUGGCGAAGGCGGCUCACUGGCCCGAUACUGACGCUGAGGUGCGAAAGCGUGGGGAGCAAACAGG
rnacentral:rRNA from 1 species